AACGCUAGCUACAGGCUUAACACAUGCAAGUCGCGGGGCAGCAUGAAGGAUGCUUGCAUUCUUUGAUGGCGACCGGCGCACGGGUGAGUAACGCGUAUCCAACCUGCCUGUUACCACGGCACAGCCCGUCGAAAGGCGGAUUAAUGCCGUAUGUGGUCCUUUGCGGGCAUCUAAUUAGGACUAAAGGUUCAGCGGUAACGGAUGGGGAUGCGUCCGAUUAGCUAGACGGCGGGGUAACGGCCCACCGUGGCGACGAUCGGUAGGGGUUCUGAGAGGAAGGUCCCCCACACUGGAACUGAGACACGGUCCAGACUCCUACGGGAGGCAGCAGUGAGGAAUAUUGGUCAAUGGGCGUAAGCCUGAACCAGCCAAGUAGCGUGAGGGAAGACUGCCCUAUGGGUUGUAAACCUCUUUUGUGCGGGGAUAAAGUGUGGGACGUGUCCCAUAUUGCAGGUACCGCACGAAUAAGGACCGGCUAAUUCCGUGCCAGCAGCCGCGGUAAUACGGAAGGUCCGGGCGUUAUCCGGAUUUAUUGGGUUUAAAGGGAGCGCAGGCCGUCCUUUAAGCGUGCUGUGAAAUGCCGCGGCUCAACCGUGGCACUGCAGCGCGAACUGGAGGACUUGAGUACGCACGAGGUAGGCGGAAUUCGUGGUGUAGCGGUGAAAUGCUUAGAUAUCACGAAGAACUCCGAUUG
rnacentral:rRNA from 1 species